UAGGGAAUCUCCCACAAUGGACGAAAGUCUGAUGGAGCAACGCCGCGUGAGUGAAGAAGGGUUUCGGCUCGUAAAACUCUGUUGUUAAAGAAGAACAUAUCUGAGAGUAACUGUUCAGGUAUUGACGGUAUUUAACCAGAAAGCCACGGCUAACUACGUGCCAC
rnacentral:rRNA from 1 species